GGACCUCGCACUCACCAGGCAGUACUGGCCAUUCUCUUCUACGGAAAGUAGCUAAGAUAUAUUUCUGCCACCUGUAAGUCAGAAUGACAAAAUUCUUGACAGUGAUAUCACUCAGUCCAACGGAUCUGACGCACUGAAGGCUGGACAUUGGCAGAUAUCAUCUAUGAUGAAAAAGCCUCCCUUGCGAGACGAGAAUCUUCACCAUCUGAAUCAUGAGUAAGUUAUAUUUUCCUGUAUAUCUAGUUUAUAUUUUAUUUUCAGAUUUACUCUAUAUCUCUUA